GCUUUAUCAAAGAUGAAGGCUGAGGAGGCCCAGGCCGAGGGAGGAGGCCGGAGGGCAGGUCGGGAGGGAGGACUCCACACUGAGAGCCCGGGCGGCCUUCAGGGCGAUGCAGAAUGAACUGGCACCUCCAGCCAGGGCCAGGGUAAGGAUGGGUACAGGACACGCACCAGGUACCAGGAAGGACGACAUUCCCCUCUCCCCUGGCGCAAAGGAGGGGCUGUCUGUGAGUGCUGGGCUCGACAUGCCUGCAGAGUUCACUCGGCAUGGGCUCUGCUGCCGGUCUGUCUGCUUGUUCUCAGGAGAAGCCAGGACUCAGGCAUUCAGACCGCAGCCGGCGCUCCCUGGACACUAGGCACACUCCACCCCAGGCAAGCCUCGGGACCUUGCAGGGGAGCUGCUGCUGUAACUGUUUCUCCGAAGCAGAAACACAGGCUGGGAGGGGCGCCGUGACUUUCUGCUGAAGGGCAGAGCUACAGCCCAGCGUUCCCUUCCGCUAUGCUGGUUCCUGCUGGGAGUGCUGUCUCCCGACCAGGAAUUGACUUUUCUGUUUGGAGCUGAGAAAUGGGUCCCCUGAGGAUGCCAGCAGCGAGGGGAUCUUCCCAGCCGACCUCCUCCUCUCGUGUUACUCAUGCAGGCGAGAACUGUUUUGCUCAUUCCCCGUGGGUCACCCUUGGAGUCAGGCUCUGAAGACCCCGCACCUGAUGGAUCAGCUGGCCCCACCCAGAUCGAUAAACUGGCUCAUCUGAUCUUAUGGCCCCCACCCAGGAACUGACUCAGUGCAAGAGGACAGCUUUGA